UACGGAGGGUGCGAGCGUUGUCCGGAUUUAUUGGGUUUAAAGGGUGCGUAGGCGGCCUAUUAAGUCCGGGGUGAAAGCCCGUUGCUCAACAACGGAACUGCCCUGGAUACUGGAUGGCUUGAGUCCAGACGAGGGUGGCGGAAUGGCCGGAGUAGCGGUGAAAUGCAUAGAUACCGUCCAGAACACCGAUUGCGCAGGCAGCUGCCUAGAAUGGAACUGACGCUGAGGCACGACAGCGUGGGGAGCGAACAGG
rnacentral:rRNA from 1 species